GUCCAUGGUGGCGCUGAAGCAU
rnacentral:piRNA from 1 species